UACGAAGGGGCUAGCGUUGUUCGGAAUCACUGGGCGUAAAGCGCACGCAGGCGGAUCGUUAAGUCAGGGGUGAAAUCCCGAGGCUCAACCUCGGAACUGCCUUUGAUACUGGCGAUCGUUCGAGUCCGGGAGAGGUGAGUGGAACUCCGAGUGUAGAGGUGAAAUUCGUAGAUAUUCGGAAGAACACCAGUGGCGAAGGCGGCUCACGUGCCCG
rnacentral:rRNA from 1 species